GGACGAACGCUGGCGGCGUGCCUAACACAUGCAAGUCGAGCGAGGAGAUCCUUCGGGAUGAUCCUAGCGGCGGACGGGUGAGUAACACGUGGGCAACCUGCCUCAUAGAGAGGAAUAGCCUUCCGAAAGGGAGAUUAAUACCUCAUAACAUUGCAGUUUCGCAUGGAACAGCAAUUAAAGGAGCAAUCCGCUAUGAGAUGGGCCCGCGGCGCAUUAGCUAGUUGGUGAGGUAACGGCUCACCAAGGCGACGAUGCGUAGCCGACCUGAGAGGGUGAUCGGCCACAUUGGGACUGAGACACGGCCCAGACUCCUACGGGAGGCAGCAGUGGGGAAUAUUGCACAAUGGGGGAAGCCCUGAUGCCAGCAACGCCGCGUGAGUGAUGACGGCCUUCGGGUUGUAAAGCUCUGUCUUCAGGGACGAUAAUGACGGUACCUGAGGAGGAAGCCACGGCUAACUACGUGCCAGCCGCGGC
rnacentral:rRNA from 1 species